rnacentral:rRNA from 1 species
GGGGGGGGGGGGGGGGGGGGGGGGGGGGGGGGGGGGGGGGGGGGGGGGGGGGGGGGGGGGCGUCGGGGGUUGGCGGCGGGCGGGGGAGGGGGGCGUGGGGAACCUAGCUAUGGGACUGGGGUAACUUCGGGAAGCCUGGUCUACUACCGGCUACUAUAUUUACCCGCAGUUUUCCAUCUUGACAGCCUGUUUUUCUUUCACUUAUCUAUUGAUCCGCGCCGCAUUAGCUAGUUGGUACGGUAACGGCUUACCAAGGCAACGAUGCGUAGCCGACCUGCGAGAGGGAGCGGCCACACUGGAACUGAGACACGGUCCAGACUCCUACGGGAGGCAGCAGUAGGGAAUCGUCCGCAAUGGGCGAAAGCCUGACGGAGCAACGCCGCGUGAGUGAUGAAGGUCGUCGGAUCGUAAAACUCUGUUAUGAGGGAAGAACAAAUGGGUAAGUAACUAUGCACGUCUUGACGGUACCUAAUCAGAAAGCCACGGAUAACUACGUG